AUGAAGUCACUCCAUAAUCUGCAAAUCAGAACCAAGUAAAUUCUCAGAUGCUACAGAGGUAAAGAAACUAAAAUUUUGUUCAAGCCUUUUGUUUUAAAUGGCCGAGAUAAUUUACCUACCUAUCCCCAAGGACACCAACCUCUUUACAACUUAAAACGAUGCCCUAAUGCAAAAACUGCUCAUAGGUAUGCCUUAAAAAUGAAAUUCUUCACUAUAAAAAUGAAAUUCUUGACUACCAUAUCAGUAUCAACAACUCAUUGGCUAGAGAAACACCUACUCUUUUCAACGACUUAAUGAGAUUCUCUGUGCCUUACCCAUUUCUUUUUACACAUAUUGCAUUACCUUGAAAAGAUCUGCUUUUUAUUUCUAAUUAAGGGUACAGCAACUCACUAGCUUCUAUAUUGGUCUUAAAGAACAAGACAAUGCAGAACAAUAAAGGCAAUAAAGUAAUGGCUGAUUUUGAGCUCUGCUCCAAGAAAAUAACUUUAAGAACUGAACAUUUAUCAAACAAACUGUUUGGACACGUAAAAUCAAAAUAGCCCAUCAUUAAGAUAAUGUCAGAUGAACAGAUUAUUUUAAGACAGCAAAUGAUUAGACAAACAAUACGCCAUCAUUUAACAAAUUACACUCAGAAAAACCCUCAACCAUUCACAAGAAUAAUAUAUAUAUAUAUGUGUGUGUGU
rnacentral:misc_RNA from 1 species